rnacentral:lncRNA from 1 species
UGACAUCUUCCCAAUCAAGGAUUUGGCAGCAGCUGGAGUCUUAUCAAUACACAAAUCAUUAUAAUCAACAUCAGGGGUAACAAGUUCUCUCAGAGUUCUUUGGUCAGUCAUGUUAAACUCAAUAGAAAAGAAAAAAAAAAUCAACAAACAAUGAGAAAACACAAUUAAUUCAACAAUGCAACAACAAAUAGAAAAAUACCGACAAUGUCCCUAUUAAAAAAACAAUUGAAAUACGAAAAAG